UAACGGCGUCGAGCGGCGGACGGGUGAGUAAUGCCUAGGAAAUUGCCCUGAUGUGGGGGAUAACCAUUGGAAACGAUGGCUAAUACCGCAUGAUGCCUACGGGCCAAAGAGGGGGACCUUCGGGCCUCUCGCGUCAGGAUAUGCCUAGGUGGGAUUAGCUAGUUGGUGAGGUAAGGGCUCACCAAGGCGACGAUCCCUAGCUGGUCUGAGAGGAUGAUCAGCCACACUGGAACUGAGACACGGUCCAGACUCCUACGGGAGGCAGCAGUGGGGAAUAUUGCACAAUGGGCGCAAGCCUGAUGCAGCCAUGCCGCGUGUGUGAAGAAGGCCUUCGGGUUGUAAAGCACUUUCAGUCGUGAGGAAGGUAGUGUAGUUAAUAGCUGCAUUAUUUGACGUUAGCGACAGAAGAAGCACCGGCUAACUCCGUGCCAGCAGCCGCGGUAAUACGGAGGGUGCGAGCGUUAAUCGGAAUUACUGGGCGUAAAGCGCAUGCAGGUGGUUUGUUAAGUCAGAUGUGAAAGCCCGGGGCUCAACCUCGGAAUUGCAUUUGAAACUGGCAGACUAGAGUACUGUAGAGGGGGGUAGAAUUUCAGGUGUAGCGGUGAAAUGCGUAGAGAUCUGAAGGAAUACCGGUGGCGAAGGCGGCCCCCUGGACAGAUACUGACACUCAGAUGCGAAAGCGUGGGGAGCAAACAGGAUUAGAUACCCUGGUAGUCCACGCCGUAAACGAUGUCUACUUGGAGGUUGUGGCCUUGAGCCGUGGCUUUCGGAGCUAACGCGUUAAGUAGACCGCCUGGGGAGUACGGUCGCAAGAUUAAAACUCAAAUGAAUUGACGGGGGCCCGCACAAGCGGUGGAGCAUGUGGUUUAAUUCGAUGCAACGCGAAGAACCUUACCUACUCUUGACAUCCAGAGAACUUUCCAGAGAUGGAUUGGUGCCUUCGGGAACUCUGAGACAGGUGCUGCAUGGCUGUCGUCAGCUCGUGUUGUGAAAUGUUGGGUUAAGUCCCGCAACGAGCGCAACCCUUAUCCUUGUUUGCCAGCGAGUAAUGUCGGGAACUCCAGGGAGACUGCCGGUGAUAAACCGGAGGAAGGUGGGGACGACGUCAAGUCAUCAUGGCCCUUACGAGUAGGGCUACACACGUGCUACAAUGGCGCAUACAGAGGGCUGCCAACUUGCGAAAGUGAGCGAAUCCCAAAAAGUGCGUCGUAGUCCGGAUUGGAGUCUGCAACUCGACUCCAUGAAGUCGGAAUCGCUAGUAAUCGUGGAUCAGAAUGCCACGGUGAAUACGUUCCCGGGCCUUGUACACACCGCCCGUCACACCAUGGGAGUGGGCUGCAAAAGAAGUAGGUAGUUUAACCUUCGGGGGGACGCUUACCACUUUGUGGUUCAUGACUGGGG
rnacentral:rRNA from 1 species